CCUACGGGAGACAGCAGUGGGGAAUAUUGCACAAUGGGGGAAACCCUGAUGCAGCGACGCCGCGUGAGUGAAGAAGUAUUUCGGUACGUAAAGCUCUAUCAGCAGGGAAGAAAAUGACGGUACCUGACUAAGAAGCCCCGGCUAACUACGUGCCAGCAGCCGCGGUAAUACGUAGGGGGCAAGCGUUAUCCGGAUUUACUGGGUGUAAAGGGAGCGUAGACGGCAGCGCAAGUCUGGAGUGAAAUCCCAUGGCUUAACCAUGGAACUGCUGUGGAAACUGUGCAGCUAGAGUGCAGGAGAGGUAAGCGGAAUUCCUAGUGUAGCGGUGAAAUGCGUAGAUAUUAGGAGGAACACCAGUGGCGAAGGCGGCUUACUGGACUGUAACUGACGUUGAGGCUCGAAAGCGUGGGGAGCAAACAGGAUUAGAUACCCCGGUAGU
rnacentral:rRNA from 1 species